rnacentral:rRNA from 1 species
UACGGAGGGUGCGAGCGUUGUCCGGAAUCACUGGGCGUAAAGGGCGCGUAGGCGGCCUGAUAAGUAGGGGGUGAAAUCCUGCGGCUUAACCGCAGGGCUGCCUUCUAAACUGUCAGGCUCGAGCACAGUAGAGGCAGGUGGAAUUCCCGGUGUAGCGGUGGAAUGCGUAGAUAUUGCUCGGAAGGCCGGAGCCGAAGGGGCCCCACUGGUACGUAACUGACGCUGAGGCACGAAAGCGUGGGGAGCAAACAGG